GACGAACGCUGGCGGCGUGCUUAACACAUGCAAGUCGAACGGAAAGGCCCUGCUUUUGUGGGGUGCUCGAGUGGCGAACGGGUGAGUAACACGUGAGUAACCUGCCCUUGACUUUGGGAUAACUUCAGGAAACUGGGGCUAAUACCGGAUAGGAGCUCCUGCUGCAUGGUGGGGGUUGGAAAGUUUCGGCGGUUGGGGAUGGACUCGAGGCUUAUCGGCUUGUUGGUGGGGUAGUGGUUUACCAAGGCUUUGACGGGUAGCCGGCCUGAGAGGGUGACCGGCCACAUUGGGACUGAGAUACGCCGCAGACGGCUACGGGAGGCAGCAGGCGAGAAUAUUGCACAAUGGGCGGAAGCCUGAUACAGCAACGCCGCGUGCGGGAUGACGGCCUUCGGGUUGUAAACCGCUUUCGCCUGUGACGAAGCGUGAGUGACGGUAAUGGGUAAAGAAGCACCGGCUAACUACGUG
rnacentral:rRNA from 1 species